UUACAUCGUGCACUUGAUACGCGUACUAAAUAGUAACUUUUUAUUAGAUAAUCUUAUAGCAUUUUUGACUGGCUCUGGGUUAACCCACUCUGGGUUAUUCAGUCUACGUUUAUUGGUCAAACAAGUAUUUAUAAUUGGCUAGGAGAGACUAUGACGUCAUUAAUCGCUCUCGGAGCGAUUAGCCCAGGGCCAGUCGAACACGCUAUAAAAUUGUGUUGCUUAGAGGUCUUUAUCGGUACCAACAUUUUUCCAUGUAGUUUUCGAGAAAAUGUCGUGUAACCUUGAUUAAUGUAAUCGUGCACAACGUUAUACUUUGUGCAUUUCUGUAUACAUAUGUGUCAAGAUGUGUUAAGCAAUUGGAAAGCACCCAAAGAUAGGAUGAUAUUUGUGUCGACUUGUGUCUCUUGUUGGAAAACAACUUUAUAAUGGGCCCUUGUUUCUGGCACAAACGCACAUGAAAAACUGAUGCAGAGACUAUCGCGAUGAUUCGGCAAGCAUUUGGUGAAAAUGCGAUGACUCAAUCAAAGAUUUUUGAACGGCAUAAACGCUUUCGAGAAGAUCAAAUUUCGGUUGAGGACGAUUCUCGUUCAGGACGGCCCUCAACCUCCACCAUUGAACAGAAACAAUGUAAAGUGCGCGAAUUGAUAUGUUCCGAUCGCCGCUUAACAAUUCGAGGGAUUACUAAAGGACUAAACAUUUCAUUUGGUUCGUGUCCGAGCAUUCCGCAAAACCUUGGACAUCAUCAAAAUGUUUCUAAAUUUGUGCCACGAAUUUUGACUUUAAAGCGGAAAGAAGCACAUACGGAAAUUCCAAAGAAUCUUUUUGAAGAAACAAAAUCUAAUGACGAUUUUUUGAAAAUUUUUGUGAUCGAUAAUAAGACAUGGGUCGUGACAAGAGUCGGCAAAGCGUAAUUGAAGAUUUGCGAGCAGAAUUUAAAUCUAUUCCAAAAGAAACAUUUGUGAAAGAGUGAAGUAUGCACUGGAACCAUUGCAUUUAGGCAAUUUCAAAGAAGCGACAUUUAGCAAACAAUGGAAAUGACUCAGAAUCUAAAAUAUUUUGUCAAUAAAUAAUGCCUGAGAUUCUUUAAUCAACCUUAGUAUAUGUCAUUAUGUUAUAAAUAUAUAUUUGAAUCAUUUUAUA